AUUGAACGCUGGCGGCAGGCCUAACACAUGCAAGUCGAGCGGCGCGGGGGACGGGGACGGAAGGCCUAGGAAUCUGCCUCGUAGUGGGGGAUAACGUCCGGUAACGGACGCUAAAACCACAUACUAUCAGAAGAGCCUAGGUCGGAUUAGCUAGUGGGUGGGGUAAAGGUCUACCAAGGCGACGAUCCGUAACUGGUCUGAGAGGAUGAUCAGUCACACUGGAACUGAGACACGGUCCAGACUCCUACGGGAGGCAGCAGUGGGGAAUAUUGGACAAUGGGCGAAAGCCUGAUGCAGCCAUGCCGCGUGUGUGAAGAAGGUCUUCGGAUUGUAAAGCACUUUAAGUUGGGAGGCGUUACCCGCAGAAUAAGCACCGGCUAACUCCGUGCCAGCAGCCGCGGUAAUAC
rnacentral:rRNA from 1 species